rnacentral:rRNA from 1 species
CCUACGGGUGGCAGCAGUGGGGAAUAUUGGACAAUGGGCGAAAGCCUGAUCCAGCCAUGCCGCGUGUGUGAAGAAGGCCUUCGGGUUGUAAAGCACUUUCAGUGGGGAAGAAAGCCUUGGGGCUAAUACCCUCGAGGAAGGACAUCACCCACAGAAGAAGCACCGGCUAACUCCGUGCCAGCAGCCGCGGUAAUACGGAGGGUGCGAGCGUUAAUCGGAAUUACUGGGCGUAAAGCGCGCGUAGGCGGUCUGAUAAGCCGGUUGUGAAAGCCCCGGGCUCAACCUGGGAACGGCAUCCGGAACUGUCAGGCUAGAGUGCAGGAGAGGAAGGUAGAAUUCCCGGUGUAGCGGUGAAAUGCGUAGAGAUCGGGAGGAAUACCAGUGGCGAAGGCGGCCUUCUGGACUGACACUGACGCUGAGGUGCGAAAGCGUGGGUAGCAAACAGGAUUAGAUACCCGAAGUC